AGAGUUUGAUCCUGGCUCAGGACGAACGCUGGCGGUAUGCUUAACACAUGCAAGUCGAACGAGACGAAAGUGAAGUGCUUGCACGGAACUUUUAGAAAGUGGCGAACGGGUGAGUAACGCGUGGGUAACCUGCCCUAUGGAAAGGAAUAGCCUCGGGAAACUGGGAGUAAUGCCUUAUAAUAUAAAGAAGUCGCAUGGCU
rnacentral:rRNA from 1 species